GAGGAAAAAGGGAGACAGUACAGCCCAGUUACCAGCACAAAUACACACACACACACACACACACACACACACACACACACAUAUCUAAGCUGGACACAACCUCUCUCGAUCUUUUCCCUAUCUCUGAAGUCAAGUUACUAAUGGUGAAAUCAUACAAUAAUUGGGAAAUGUAAAUCAUAUGGUGCAUGCUAAAUAAAAUGACAAGAAUGUUAGAACAACAAUCACAAAAUCCAAUUCCUGCUUCUAGCCCGGCAAAACUGACUUGGCUCACAAAUUGUAUAUAAAUAAUUAGGAAGCCGAGGCUAAAAGUCCCUGUGAUUAACCGCACAGUAUCAACCACCAACAUCCUGAAAUAAUUUAUUAACUAAUAAAGAAGCCCUAGGGCUGAGAAUCUAAAGGACCACACCAUGUCCACAAGAGAGUCAUGAGUUUGGUAAGUGAAUAAACGAAUAUCCUCAUAGAAUCAGGAGCACAGAAAGUGAUUUCAUCAGAGAUAACAGAUCCUUGCCCCUAGGACUGUAAUUCCCCCAAGAGGCAUUGCCCAAAAUGCAGCAGGAAAGUCUUCAAUAAAUAGCAUCUGGCUGGGGGUUAGUGGCUCAUGCCUGUAAUCCCAGCUACAUGGGAGGCUGAGAUCGGAGGAUAGAGGUUCAAAGUCUGCCAAGGCCAGCUAAUCCAAGAGACUCUUAUCUCCAAUUAACCAACAAAAAGCCAGAA